rnacentral:rRNA from 1 species
UGGCGGACGGGUGAGUAACGCGUGGAUAACCUGCCGUAUACUGGGGGAUAACACUUAGAAAUAGGUGCUAAUACCGCAUAAGCGCACAGUCUCGCAUGAGACGGUGUGAAAAACUCCGGUGGUAUACGAUGGAUCCGCGUCUGAUUAGCUUGUUGGCGGGGUAACAGCCUACCAAGGCGACGAUCAGUAGUCGGCCUGAGAGGGUGAACGGCCACAUUGGGACUGAGACACGGCCCAAACUCCUACGGGAGGCAGCAG